rnacentral:rRNA from 1 species
AUACGGAGGGUGCGAGCGUUAAUCGGAAUUACUGGGCGUAAAGCGUACAUAGGCGGUUUGCUAAGUCAGAUGUGAAAGCCCCGGGCUUAACCUGGGAACUGCAUUUGAUACUGGCAGACUAGAGUAUGAUAGAGGGGGGUAGAAUUCCUGGUGUAGCGGUGAAAUGCGUAGAUAUCAGGAGGAAUACCAGUGGCGAAGGCGGCCCCCUGGAUCAAUACUGACGCUGAGGUACGAAAGCGGGGGGAGCGAACAGGAUUAGAUACCCUAGUAGUCC